rnacentral:rRNA from 1 species
ACCUCUUACCAUUCCGAACAGAGAAGUUAAACCUUUUAGCGCAGAUGGUACUGCAAUUUGUGGGAGAGUAUGUCGCCGCCUUCU